rnacentral:rRNA from 1 species
AGUGAACGCUGGCGGUAGGCCUAACACAUGCAAGUCGAACGGCAGCACAGUAAGAGCUUGCUCUUACGGGUGGCGAGUGGCGGACGGGUGAGGAAUACAUCGGAAUCUACUUUUUCGUGGGGGAUAACGUAGGGAAACUUACGCUAAUACCGCAUACGACCUACGGGUGAAAGCAGGGGAUCUUCGGACCUUGCGCGAUUGAAUGAGCCGAUGUCGGAUUAGCUAGUUGGCGGGGUAAAGGCCCACCAAGGCGACGAUCCGUAGCUGGUCUGAGAGGAUGAUCAGCCACACUGGAACUGAGGCACGGUCCAGACUCCUACGGGAGGCAGCAGUGGGGAAUAUUGGACAAUGGGCGCAAGCCUGAUCCAGCCAUACCGCGUGGGUGAAGAAGGCCUUCGGGUUGUAAUGCCCUUUUGUUGGGAAAGAAAAGCAGCAGGUUAAUACCCCGCUGUUCUGACGGUACCCAAAGAAUAAGCACCGGCUAACUUCGUG